AGACGUCUACAUUAGAUACCCCGGUAGUCCCAGCCGUAAACGAUGCGCGUUAGGUGUAUCGGUGACCACGAGUUACCGAGGUGCCGAAGGGAAACCGCGAAACGUGCCGCCUGGGAAGUACGGUCGCAAGGCUGAAACUUAAAGGAAUUGGCGGGGAGCACCACAACGGGUGGAGCCUGCGGUUUAAUUGGACUCAACGCCGGGAAGCUCACCGGAUAAGACAGCGGAAUGAUUGCCGGGCUGAAGACUCUGCAUGACUAGCUG
rnacentral:rRNA from 1 species